rnacentral:rRNA from 1 species
GACGAACGCUGGCGGCGCGCUUAACACAUGCAAGUCGAGCGAAGCGGCGGACGGGUGAGUAACACGUGAGUAACCUGCCUUAGACAUUGGGAUAGCCUCGGGAAACCGGGAUUAAUACCAAAUGGUCUAAGAUGGACUCGCGUCCCAUUAGCUGGUUGGUGAGGUAACGGCCCACCAAGGGGACGAUGGGUAGCCGGGAGGAGAGGGUGAGCGGCCACAUUGGAGCUGGGAAACGGGCGGAACUCUGCGGGAGGAAGGAGUGGGGAAUAUUGCACGAUGGAGGGAACUCUGAUGCAGCGAGGCCGGGAGAACGAAGUAGGCUAUCGGGUCGUAAAGUUCUUUUAUAUGGGAAGCGGUACCAUAAGAAAAAGCCACGGCUAACUACGUGCCAGCAGCCGCGGUAAUUC